rnacentral:rRNA from 1 species
AUUGAACGCUGGCGGCAGGCUUAACACAUGCAAGUCGAGCGGAUGAAGGGAGCUUGCUCCUGGAUUCAGCGGCGGACGGGUGAGUAAUGCCUAGGAAUCUGCCUGGUCGUGGGGGAUAACGUCCGGAAACGGGCGCUAAUACCGCAUACGUCCUGAGGGAGAGAGUGGGGGAUUUUCGGAACUCACGCUAUCAGAUGAGCCUAGGUCGGAUUCGUUAGUUGGUGGGGUAAAGGCCUACCAAGGCGACGAUCCGUAACUGGACUGAGAGGAUGAUCAGUCACACUGGGACUGAGACACGGUCCAGACUCCUGCAGGAAGCAGCAGUAGGGAAUAGUGGGGAAUGGGCGAAAGCCUUAUCCAGCCAUGCCGCGAGUGUGAAGAAGGUCUUCGGAUUGUAAAGCACUUUAAGUUGGGAGGAAGAGCAGUAAGUUAAUACCUUGCUGUUUUGACGUUACCAACAGAAGAAGCACCGGCUAACUACGUG